rnacentral:rRNA from 1 species
UACGUAGGGACCAAGCGUUGUUCGGAUUUACUGGGCGUAAAGGGCGCGUAGGCGGCGCGGUAAGUCACUUGUGAAAGUCAAGGGCUCAACCCUUGAAAGCCGGCCGAUACUGUCGGACUAGAGUCCGGAAGAGGCGAGUGGAAUUCCCGGUGUAGCGGUGAAAUGCGCAGAUAUCGGGAGGAACACCGGUGGCGAAGGCGGGUCUCUGGGCCGAUACUGACGCUGAGGAGCGAAAGCGUGGGGAGCGAACAGG